rnacentral:rRNA from 1 species
CCUACGGGGUGCAGCAGUGGGGAAUAUUGGACAAUGGGGGGAACCCUGAUCCAGCGACGCCGCGUGAGUGAAGAAGUAUUUCGGUAUGUAAAGCUCUAUCAGCAGGGAAGAAAGAAAUGACGGUACCUGACUAAGAAGCCCCGGCUAACUACGUGCCAGCAGCCGCGGUAAUACGUAGGGGGCAAGCGUUAUCCGGAUUUACUGGGUGUAAAGGGAGCGUAGACGGCGAUGCAAGUCUGAAGUGAAAGGCGGGGGCCCAACCCCUGGACUGCUUUGGAAACUGUAUGGCUGGAGUGAAGGAGAGGUAAGUGGAAUUCCUAGUGUAGCGGUGAAAUGCGUAGAUAUUAGGAGGAACACCAGUGGCGAAGGCGGCUUACUGGACUGUAACUGACGUUGAGGCUCAAAAGCGUGGGGAGCAAACAGGAUUAGAUACCCGAGUAGUC